UAUGUCAAUAAAAAUAUAUAUGAAUGGAUGGGCAAAAUGGAAUAUGGAGGAUUGAGUUCUUUGUUAGUACUAGUUAAGAGAAAAAAACAGAAAAAGAUGAAAGAAAAGGAGAAAUAGCAGAGGAAAAACAGAGGAAGGCUCAGUAAGAGAGUACCAAAGAGAACAAGAUGUCAGGAGGGAGACAGGGAAGACUUCCACAUUUGGUAGAGAGUGCACACAUGCCAUAACCUAGUCACUGGAUUCUUUCAAGACAUAUUUACUGAGAACCCACACGGUGUGUGGUACUGUAUCAGGUGCAUGUAGCCCACUCUGACUGCUCCCCUGAAAUUUCAGGGGCCCUCCUUGCUAAAUCCACUAGACUCUGCUGGGGCCUCACCUUCUGGACCCUCUUAGCAGCAAACACUGCUGACCCCUCACUUUUUAAUGCUUGCUUAUCUUGCAUUGUGGACACCACAGGUGCCUGGUUUUCUCCUCAUUUCUCUGGACACUCUUUUUAAUUUUCCUUUUGUGAGCUAUUCUUGGGCUGUGUGUUUUCUACACAUGAGUGUUCCUCAGCUUCUGUCUGUUUCUCAGCUUCCAUCAGAAGCCUUCUUCUCUUACUCUAAAACUCUUAGAGAGCUAAGGACUUCCAAAUCUCUAGCUCCAUCCCAGAGCCUGGCACACACAAGUCCCACACAUCAAAGCCUCCUGGGCAUCUUCUGCUGGUUGGAUGCAUCAUCCCUAUAUCUGUUCCUCAGUCAUUUAGCCAGUACUAAGGACCUACAAAGUGCUUGGAGCAGAACAGGCACUUCUGGAGCUUGCAAUUAAUGAGGGAGACGGGACUGAAUAAUUACACAAAUACAGGGUUACAAGCAGUGGUUGCAGUGAUAGGAAAAAGGAAAAAAACCACCACUGCAAAAGAAUAUAAUAAUGGUUCCUAAUUUAAAUGAGAGGGUAGUAUUUUUUGAGGAAGUGAUAUUCAAGCUGAACCCAAAGGAUAAGUAGGAGUUAACCCAGCAAAGAGUAGGGGUGGAUAUUCUACACUAGGGAACUAUUCUCUUCUAUUCGAUUCCAUUCUAUUCUAUGGAACUACAGUAUCCAAGGGAACUCUUCUAGGGAACCAGAAUAAGUAGGGACAUACAUAAGCAAAGGGCUCAGCAUGACAACAACAAGGUCACAGGUAUGAAAUGAGGCUGAAGACAAAGAGAAGGCCCAAAUCACACAAGAUCAAGACCACUCUACCUAAAUGGCAGGAAGAUGGAAAUCUAAGAGGAGAGACCAGUUAUGAGGCAACUGUCAAAAUUCAAGAGAGGAAGAGAAUCUUAAAGUGUUCUUUAAGCACCAGCUUUCACACUGGGAAUCCAGGAAGCUAGCAAGAAGAUACAUUGUACUGGGGCACCAAGCUCAUGCGCCAAGCCAGAGCCAGAGCUGGAGGAGAAUCUUGAGUUGCUGAUUUCAAAGUGCAGGCUCUACCCUGGGACAACUUUCCCUCCCACACAGCAGCCGGCCCCAGGGAUGGGUCAGCGAUGCACAUCUGCACACCCCAAGGGAUAGUUCAAAACCAAAGCAUGCAAAGCAUGACAUAAAUAUGAAGUGUGGAAAACGCAUUCCUUAUGAACAGCUCCAUAUCAAAUUCUCCGCAUCUCUCUUUGGCAACGUUAUCAGAAGCAUCAUUCAAUCCAGCCGAUUGGAGAGUGGCUAUGAAAAAGCCUGGAAAAUGUGACCAAUCAGGAGAGUUAUUUUUGUGAGAAAGAAGAAAAAUGUCACCAAAAAGGGUCAGCAGAUAACCCUAUUGGGCUGAAAAUAACUGCCUGGCUGGCAGACCAGUCAGGGGACAGGCGGAGGGCGAGAGACGUAAUGCAAAGUGCCAAGGGAGCUCCGGCUGAGUGAGGCUGCUGGGGGAUGAGGAAAUUGGCCUAAUUUGGGAACAUGAGCCCAGCAGCAUUUCUCAGAUUCCUGCAAGAGAAUCUGGCUAACUUUCAGUUCUGUGUCCUCAGAGGAACACUGAGGGGAUGAAGGGAGAGAAAGGGAACAGCUGUGACUCCAACACUUCUCCAGACAACUGGACGAAUAAGGGUGAUCAAAUGAGAAGUUACUCCUGCUCCAAAAGGAUCCCAAACAUUUCUGCACUCUCCUCAACACACUCUUCUCUACUGGGAGGUCUAUGCAUUUACCUGUCUAGCAGGCAGGAGAGAUUAGGUAGUGGUUAAACACCUGGCUACAGUCAGAAAGACUUGACUAGAGUCAGAAAUUAGCUGAAUGCCUCUGAAUAAGUUACCCAAUCUCUCAAAGUCUUGAAGUCCUCACCGACACAAUGAGAAAAUAAGAGUAUCUACUUCAAGAGCUACCAUGAGGCUCAACUAGGAUACUGCAUGAAUUAACAGAUAGCUAGCAACUGUUCCAAUGUAAGUGAUGACGAUUAUCACUAAAAAGAUAAUCUACACAAUAAAAGCUAAGCCAAAAAGGGGUCUAGACCCAAGUGAGCAUUGCUUAUCCAAAAUUAAGCUAGCCCUGGAGAGGCUAUGCCAAAGAUUACUUUUGCCCAUACUCAGUGUAAUGUAUUAAAUAGCUUUACAGUAGAAAGUGUCCGGGUUGCUCUUGAAGAACAACAACCAUUUGAAUCAAGCGAAGGUAAAGGUUCAGGCAGAGAGAUCUGGUUUAACUCUUAGAUCUGCUCUCUUUGGAGAAAGUUAUACAUUGCAGACAUGUAGAUACUCAUAAUAGAACUAUCUUCCAGCAAAAUCCUCAACACCUGUAAUGCCAACCUGAAUUGCUAAUGAACUAUGCUUCUGUGAUCCAAGCCUGAUUUGCGACAGGUACAUGCACUCCCCUCCCCACAAAAGUACAGUCAUAAGCUUUCUUAGUACUUACCAUUUCUUGAGGGGUUUCUGUGUGCCAGACACUGUGCUAGGUACUUUACAUGCAUUGCCUAAUUUGAUUUAAGACAACCCUAAAAAAGUAGGCACAACUUGAGUCAAUUCUGAGCUAGUAAAAUGACACAGAGUUCACCUUUCUGGUAAAUCAUUAAAAUUAGACAGGUAAGGUCUCUGAAAUUUAUUACUUGAAAUCUACAGAAUGGCCAAGCAAAUAAAGAGACCCUUC